rnacentral:siRNA from 1 species
UACUAAUGUUGGUGUACAUAUGUG